rnacentral:rRNA from 1 species
CCCUUAGACGUUCUGGGCCGCACGCGCGCUACACUGACCAGUGCAACAAGCAUCCGUCCUUGGCCGACAGGCUCGGGCAAUCUUUGAACGCUGGUCGUGAUGGGGAUAGACUUUUGCAAUUUUUGGUCUUCAACGAGGAAUUCCUAGUAAACGCAAGUCAUCAACUUGCAUUGAUUACGUCCCUGCCCUUUGUACACACCGCCCGUCGCACCUACCGAUUGAAUGGUCCGGUGAGAUCCUCGGACUGCGAUGACGCUCUGGCAACAGAGUUAAUUGCGGAAAGUUGAUCAAACCUUACCAUUUAGAGGAAGGUGAAGUCGUAACA